UUGCUUUCACAUAUGCAUAAACCAUACAAAUUUUAUAAAUAUGUUUCCGAGUAUAAUAUAUAACUAGAGCCAUCAUAUUAUGUUCAAAAUAAUAACAUAACGCUAAGGUCUCUUUAUAUUGUGGCGAAUUGUAAUCGACAAUAUGCCAAUUAUUACGACCCGCUAGAAGGGCCAUAUGCUAAUUACUAUAUUUUGCUGGCAAGGACUGUAUGUUAAUUAUUAUAACAUGUUGUCGAGAGCCGUACGCCUACUACCAUAACCUAUUAGGGGAAAAUAAUCGCCCCGAAGCACGUGAGCACAUCGCCAGCAUGUGAUUGGAGGUGCCCG
rnacentral:lncRNA from 1 species